UACGUAGGGCGCAAGCGUUGUCCGGAAUUAUUGGGCGUAAAGAGCUCGUAGGCGGCUUGUCACGUCGAUUGUGAAAGCCCGAGGCUUAACCUCGGGUCUGCAGUCGAUACGGGCUAGCUAGAGUGUGGUAGGGGAGAUCGGAAUUCCUGGUGUAGCGGUGAAAUGCGCAGAUAUCUGGAGGAACACCGAUUGCGAAGGCAGCUCGCUGGGACGUAACUGACGCUGAGACGCGAAAGCGUGGGGAGCAACAGG
rnacentral:rRNA from 1 species